rnacentral:rRNA from 1 species
AUUGAACGCUGGCGGCAUGCCUUACACAUGCAAGUCGAACGGCAGCACGGGGCAACCUGGUGGCGAGUGGCGAACGGGUGAGUAAUGCAUCGGAACGUACCUUUCAGUGGGGGAUAACGUAGCGAAAGUUACGCUAACACCGCAUAUUCUGUGAGCAGGAAAGCAGGGGAUCGCAAGACCUUGCGCUGAUUGAGCGGCCGAUGUCAGAUUAGCUAGUUGGUGAGGUAAAGGCUCACCAAGGCGACGAUCUGUAGCGGGUCUGAGAGGAUGAUCCGCCACACUGGAACUGAGACACGGUCCAGACUCCUACGGGAGGCAGCAGUGGGGAAUUUUGGACAAUGGGGGCAACCCUGAUCCAGCCAUGCCGCGUGAGUGAAGAAGGCCUUCGGGUUGUAAAGCUCUUUCGGCCGGGAAGAAAUCGCACGGGCUAAUACCCUGUGUGGAUGACGGUACCGGAAUAAGAAGCACCAGCUAACUACGUGCCAGCCGCCGCAGUAAAAC